AACGCUAGCUACAGGCUUAACACAUGCAAGUCGAGGGGCAGCAUGGUCUUAGCUUGCUAAGGCCGAUGGCGACCGGCGCACGGGUGAGUAACACGUAUCCCACCUGCCGUCUACUCUUGGACAGCCUUCUGAAAGGAAGAUUAAUACAAGAUGGCAUCAUGAGUCCGCAUGUUCACAUGAUUAAAGGUAUUCCGGUAGACGAUGGGGAUGCGUUCCAUUAGAUAGUAGGCGGGGUAACGGCCCACCUAGUCUUCGAUGGAUAGGGGUUCUGAGAGGAAGGUCCCCCACAUUGGAACUGAGACACGGUCCAAACUCCUACGGGAGGCAGCAGUGAGGAAUAUUGGUCAAUGGGCGCAGGCCUGAACCAGCCAAGUAGCGUGAAGGAUGACUGCCCUAUGGGUUGUAAACUUCUUUUAUAAAGGAAUAAAGUCGGGUAUGUAUACCCGUUUGCAUGUACUUUAUGAAUAAGGAUCGGCUAACUCCGUGCCAGCAGCCGCGGUAAUACGGAGGAUCCGAGCGUUAUCCGGAUUUAUUGGGUUUAAAGGGAGCGUAGAUGGAUGUUUAAGUCAGUUGUGAAAGUUUGCGGCUCAACCGUAAAAUUGCAGUUGAUACUGGAUAUCUUGAGUGCAGUUGAGGCAGGCGGAAUUCGUGGUGUAGCGGUGAAAUGCUUAGAUAUCACGAAGAACUCCGAUUG
rnacentral:rRNA from 1 species